CAGAGGGCGCGUGCGUCAUCCCUGCCCUCUGCCCUUGCCAUGACCGGGGCGUCCUGCGGGAGGCUGGAUCAGAGUGGGAGGAGGACUGUCUGUCAUGCAGCUGUGUGAACGGGAGGAAACUGUGCCGGCUGAGGUGCCCUCCACUGUACUGUGAUGAGGGGGAGGUGAAGGUGGAAGAACCAGGCAGCUGCUGCCCCGUGUGUAGAAAGCAGUUUCCAGGUGAGCCUGUGCAAGAGUGUCAUCGCUAUGUGCAGGUCCGCAACAUCACCAAGGGAGACUGUCGACUUGACAAUGUGGAGGUCAGCUUCUGCAGGGGACGCUGCCUGUCCAGGACUGAUGUCAUCCUGGAGGAGCCGUAUCUCCAGUCGGUGUGUGAGUGCUGCAGCUACCGCCUGGACCCGAACACCCCGGUGCGCUUCCUCAGCCUGCAGUGUGAGAGUGGAGAGAGCGAGCCGGUUGUCCUGCCAGUCAUACACAGCUGCGAGUGCACUAGCUGCCAAGGAGGCGAUCUGUCCCGACGCUGAGCGAGUCUGUUGGACGUGUCUGCGAACGCACCGCAGAGAGAACAGUGUGAAGUCCAAAGCACCAAGGAGCACCUCGCUAAAAGCCAGCUGGGUGAUAGAUGGAGGAUUCUGGGUGGACGGAUGGAUGAGUGGAAAAAGUCCCUGCUGAUAAACACAGUGCUCUGUAGUGCUCAGUCACCAAAUGACUGGAUCUUACUGCUGAUCGUAUAUUUCUUACAUAUUCUGCAGCCUGUACAUUCUACUGUGUAUUUAUAGAUUAAAGAUCCUAUG